UGCCACAUCACCUCUCUCUCUCCCCACGCAUUUCUUCCUCUCGACAGCCCUCCUUCCACUGCUCCCCAUCGCCUCGUCGACAGCCUACAAUGCCGCCAUCGCCCUCGGCCGUCGCGCAGCAGCACCACAUCCCCGUUCGACCAUGCUCCUCUGCCGCCGUCGAUUCACCUCGCCGGUUGAUCGGCGAUGCCUCCGGCCAGCCCACUUCCCCGCAGCACACGCUGGCCUCGGCCCUGCUCCCCGCGCUGCCUCCCCGCAUCGCGCCUCCGCCCUAGCCCCGACACGGCGCGGCCGCCCUCGACCUCCAGCUGCGCCGCCGCCUCCCUCGACCCCAACACUGUCGCUGUCCUCGAUCUCCCGUGCCGCCGCCGCCACCUCCCCGUCUACAUCCCAUGCUCCGACCUCGGCCCUCGCCGCGGCGCCGCCGUCCCGCGUUGGGGGCCGCUGCCAUUGCGCGCCCGGCCGCACCUCGCGGCCGUCGCCCACCAUGCCCCGCGCUGCCCGACUGCACCUCGCCGUCGCCGCCCACCUUCCUCCCCGCCUCCUCUCGCUGCCCCACCCUCGGUCGCCGCCGCUUCGAUCAUGUUGUUGCUUCGCCGCGCCGCUGCGCGCCCAUCUCGCCCCGCGCCCCUGCCGCGCCAUCCCUAGCCGACGCGCGGCCCCGCAACAUGGUGACACGCCUCGCCUCUCCCCCACCGGCGGUGCCCCAUCUCCUUUGGGAGAUGCAGGUGCUAUUGUGGGGAAAAAUUAGGAGACCAAAGGAAGAAGAUGAGAUGAGGAAAAUGAUGGCCACUGACAUGUGGGUCCCACUAGUCGGUGUGAUAGCAAAACUAAAUAGGGGCUGAUAUUUAGGGGUUAUUGCUGAAGAUUGAGUUGAAGUAGGGGCCUUGGGAUCUCUGCUGCUCCAACCUCAGGUGAAAGCUCCUUUGCUCCCAGAUGUACUGCGCAAUGACUUAAUUGCUACUGCUAUUUGGUAUAUUUGGGGGGAGCGUCGUCAGGCUACACAUGGAGAGAAAGUUCAAACUCCGGCUAGGUCGGCACAGGCUAUUUCGAUUCCUGCCUCUAAUUAUUCGAGGGCAAAGAAGAAGGUGUAUGUGGGUAUAGAGAGGCACGGAUGGCAGAAGCCUAAGGAAGAUUUUGUCAAAUAAAAUGUUGAUGCGGCUUCUGCUGUCGAUACAGGGGGUGGUGGUACAGGCGCCAUUAUCCGCGACGACCAUGGUUUCUUUGUGGCGGUUGCGAAAUGCCAAUUCCAAUUUGUUGAGGACGCGGCCACUGUGGAGGCGAUGGCCCUUCGGGAUGGUCUAGCUCUUGCGGAGUCUGUUGGGUGCAACCGAAUUGUCGUCAACUCGGACUGCAUGGAGGUGAUUGAAGUGAUGAAGAGAGGUGGUAAUUCGCUUGGCCUUGCGGUGGCCAUCUUUGAAGAUUGUUUCUUUACUUGUCUUAAUUUUGAGUCAGCGUGUGUGAGCAUUGUCUUAGAUAGUCUAAUAGGACAGCACAUCUUGUUGCUAGUAGGGCCGUUGGUCCUGUAGAGUGUGUUUGGCAGUCGGACCCUCCGACUUUUUCUUAGAUGCAAUCAUUGACGAUGUAACUAUUUUUGCAAAACAAUAAAAUCAGGCACGAUAGCAUUCCUUAAAAAAAAAGUUGAAGCAGAGGCUGAAAAAUUUAAGUAGAAACCUGUCAGCAGUGCCCUACGCCCCUACCCGACCGCGCAAAGCCAGGACCGCAGGUCGCUAAUUUUGUACGGCGGCGGCGGCCCGCGCCAUUCCACGAGACCACGACUGCCUUUGCUCCUUCUCCGAGAUUGCAGGUGCCUUUUGGGCAUCAAAGCAAAUCGCAAGUGACUAAUGGAGGCAUACAAGUAUGUUUACUGUGUCUUGUUGUCACUAUGGACAGAGAAGGGUCCAAGUUCUAGCAUGGCUCCAGCUCCAAAGGAUGAACAGCCAGAUAAUCUUGCAAGCCAUUAUGCACUGAAGGACUGGUAGUGCCGUUGUUCAUAGAGGCAUGCUGUUUUUCUGGAACAUAUUUCGUGGAUAUGUUCAGUUGAUCAAACUCAAGAGGGUGUUUGGGAUUGUCGCCAGUAGUUGUGUUUGCCACACUGAUGCAGAACAAGGACGAAAGUACUAGUAGUCCUCUUUUCAUCUUGAUAGGAAGCGUGUGCAUGGGUGCUUGGUGUCUUGUGCUCUGUUGCCAUUGGCUAAUAUUUAUAUAUAGGGAAGACAUUCUGUUUUCAGCACAGUUGUGGGAGUCCUCUAAGGAAACCAUAAUAUGAUUGAUUCUUUGACUUUUUCCCUCCAAGUUGGACCUAAAAGGCUCCUAAUAUUCUCUCUUUCUCUUGGCAUCUAUGUUUGUGUUGUCAUUUGUCAAUGGUGUUCAUUGUUCAAUUAAACUGUUAGUUCCUUUUCGUCGACUGUGAUAUAACAAAAUCAGGAUGAUUCCCCAACAGCUAUCUCCAGCUCAAUUAUGGUCUUUAUGAGGGGACAACAAAUAAAUAAGGGCCAUAUUGAGGGUGUUUCAUCUAUCACAAAGUGUUGUCCACAUCAUGGUGGCAUUUGAUCUUCUUAUUUUCUUUAUUUAUUUUAGAACAAUAGCAGGAGCUUCUACCUUUCAUCAAAGGCGAUCUCAUUUUCUUACUACCAUUCGCCCUCAUAAGCUUCUUGUAUACUCAACCGUAUCCUGCCAAGAUUCUCAGGAACCUUUACCUUUAAUUUGCUUUUCUGCCUUGUUAUGUUCCAACCCAAUGGAUUGCAUAUUUGAACUGCAUUCAUUGCUUCUGCUGUUUAUCUUUCAAUGUUUGUACUGUGUGACAUUGUGUAAACUGAAAAACCAUUUGCUUGCUUAAUUGUCCCAUAAAGCUGGAUGAAAUGCAUAAUUUAAACUCGUGUACUUCAUCUAGUUCUGACUUAAUGCAACUAGUCAUCAUCAUGUAUACAUUAUAUUAUGUCAUAUUUCUGUGUGGCUACCCCUGCUGGCCACUUUACUUCAGGCUUACUUUUGUUGAUCAGAAAAGACAUUUAGGCACAACUUUUACUUCUGGUUUGAAGGAUAUAUACAACCGAAUCACAAUGCUGAUGCAUGAUAUUACUGCAUUUUCAGCAUUGACUUUCCCCUGAAAUCAAGGAAACCGGUUGAUCUCAUUGCUCAAAGAGGAACUAGAUUGAAAUAUGUGCGCACACUUUUGAGGAGUUGAGGUGUGACUUUGAAGCAAGACGCCCUUUCAAUCUGGAACUUUUCCUUGGAAAAGUAGAUUGUAGAUACCAAACUUAAGCAGUGAGCAUAGAACAAUCUUUCACCAACACUUACUGAUAACAUUUACUGCUGACAGCAGCCCCCUCCUCUGUGAGAAAAAACUUGGAAAAUACAUUCUUUUAGGGAACAAAGGUUAUAGGUCCUGGUUA